UACGAAGGGGGCUAGCGUUGUUCGGAUUUACUGGGCGUAAAGCGCACGUAGGCGGAUCGUUAAGUCGGGGGUGAAAUCCUGGAGCUCAACUCCAGAACUGCCUUCGAUACUGGCGAUCUUGAGUCCGGAAGAGGUGAGUGGAACUCCUAAUGUAGAGGUGGAAUUCGUAGAUAUUAGGAAGAACACCAGUGGCGAAGGCGGCUCACUGGUCCGGUACUGACGCUGAGGUGCGAAAGCGUGGGGAUCAAACAGG
rnacentral:rRNA from 1 species